rnacentral:rRNA from 1 species
UACCGAGGGUGCGAGCGUUAAUCGGAAUUACUGGGCGUAAAGCGCGCGUAGGCGGCUUUUCAAGUCGAUUGUGAAAUCCCCGGGCUUAACCUGGGAACUGCAGUCGAGACUGUCUAGCUAGAGUAUGGGAGAGGGAAGUGGAAUUUCAGGUGUAGCGGUGAAAUGCGCAGAUAUCAGGAGGAACACCGGUGGCGAAGGCGGAUCUCUGGGCCAUUACUGACGCUGAGGAGCGAAAGCGUGGGGAGCGAACAGG